rnacentral:rRNA from 1 species
CCUACGGGAGGCAGCAGUAGGGAAUCUUCCGCAAUGGACGAAAGUCUGACGGAGCAACGCCGCGUGAGUGAUGAAGGCUUUCGGGUCGUAAAACUCUGUUGUUAGGGAGGAACAAGUACAAGAGUAACUGCUUGUACCUUGACGGUACCUAACCAGAAAGCCACGGCUAACUACGUGCCAGCAGCCGCCGUAAUACGUAGGUGGCAAGCGUUAUCCGGAAUUAUUGGGCGUAAAGCGCGCGCAGGCGGUUUCUUAAGUCUGAUGUGAAAGCCCACGACUCAACCGUGGAGGGUCAUUGGCAACUGGGGAACUUGAGUGCAGAAGAGAAAAGCGGAAUUCCACGUGUAGCGGUGAAAUGCGUAGAGAUGUGGAGGAACACCAGUGGCGAAGGCGGCUUUUUGGUCUGUAACUGACGCUGAGGCGCGAAAGCGUGGGGAGCAAACAGGAUUAGAUACCCUGGUAGUCCACGCCGUAAACGAUGAGUGCUAAGUGUUAGAGGGUUUCCGUCCUUUAGUGCUGCAGCUAACGCAUUAAGCACUCCGCCUGGGGAGUACGGUCGCAAGACUGAAACUCAAAUGAAUUGACGGGG